rnacentral:rRNA from 1 species
AUUGAACGCUGGCGGCAGGCCUAACACAUGCAAGUCGAACGGUAACAGGAAACAGCUUGCUGUUUCGCUGACGAGUGGCGGACGGGUGAGUAAUGUCUGGGAAACUGCCUGAUGGAGGGGGAUAACUACUGGAAACGGUAGCUAAUACCGCAUAACGUCGCAAGACCAAAGAGGGGGACCUUCGGGCCUCUUGCCAUCGGAUGUGCCCAGAUGGGAUUAGCUAGUAGGUGGGGUAACGGCUCACCUAGGCGACGAUCCCUAGCUGGUCUGAGAGGAUGACCAGCCACACUGGAACUGAGACACGGUCCAGACUCCUACGGGAGGCAGCAGUGGGGAAUAUUGCACAAUGGGCGCAAGCCUGAUGCAGCCAUGCCGCGUGUAUGAAGAAGGCCUUAGGGUUGUAAAGUACUUUCAGCGGGGAGGAAGGUGAUAAGGUUAAUACCCUUGUCAAUUGACGUACCCGCAGAAGAGCACCGCA